AACGAACGCUGGCGGCAUGCCUAACACAUGCAAGUCGAACGAGACCUUCGGGUCUAGGGGCGCACGGGUGCGUAACGCGUGGGAACCUGCCCUUAGGUUCGGAAUAACUCCCCGAAAGGGGUGCUAAUACCGGAUAAUGUCUUCGGACCAAAGAUUUAUCGCCUUUGGAUGGGCCCGCGUUGGAUUAGCUAGUUGGUAGGGUAAAAGCCUACCAAGGCGACGAUCCAUAGCUGGUCUGAGAGGAUGAUCAGCCACACUGGGACUGGGACACGGCCCAGACUCCUACGGGAGGCAGCAGUGGGGAAUAUUGGACAAUGGGCGAAAGCCUGAUCCAGCAAUGCCGCGUGAGUGAUGAAGGCCUUAGGGUUGUAAAGCUCUUUUACCCGGGAUGAUAAUGACAGUACCGGGAGAAUAAGCUCCGGCUAACUCCGUG
rnacentral:rRNA from 1 species